AGAAAGUGGUGUACUGGAAGCACCAAGA
rnacentral:tRNA from 1 species